rnacentral:rRNA from 1 species
UACGUAGGGCGCAAGCGUUAUCCGGAAUUAUUGGGCGUAAAGAGCUCGUAGGCGGUUUGUCGCGUCUGCCGUGAAAGCCCGGGGCUCAACCCCGGGUCUGCAGUGGGUACGGGCAGACUAGAGUGCAGUAGGGGAGACUGGAAUUCCUGGUGUAGCGGUGAAAUGCGCAGAUAUCAGGAGGAACACCGAUGGCGAAGGCAGGUCUCUGGGCUGUUACUGACGCUGAGGAGCGAAAGCAUGGGGAGCGAACAGG